GGCUUUCUCCAGGAGCCAGCGCGAGGCAGUAGAUCGGCUGCUUGAGACGCGCGCGCAGCUCCUGCGGACCACUCCCUCCGCCCUGCGCCAGCAGCUGCGCCGGCUGGCAGCCCCCCGCGCACGCGCGCUCGCCCAUCCCGCUCCCUCUGCUCGUUUGCAAGUCGCCUCGCGCUCAGUCGCGACGGCGGCCGCCGCAAUAGCGGCAUUUUCGGGGGCGCACGCGCACUGCACCGUCCGCGGCCGUUCCUAACCUCAGGCAGCGGCUGUGGCAGUAAGCCCCUCGGGUGCGCACGCGCUCUGACCUCUUCCCACUGCCUCGCUGGUUGUCCCUUCGCGGCGCGCGCCCAGGGGCCGUUAUACCCCUGCAACGGUCCACGCGCCGCGCACGCGCAGUAGC
rnacentral:lncRNA from 1 species